rnacentral:rRNA from 1 species
CCUACGGGAGGCAGCAGUGGGGAAUUUUGGACAAUGGGGGCAACCCUGAUCCAGCCAUUCCGCGUGAGUGAAGAAGGCCUUCGGGUUGUAAAGCUCUUUUGUCGGGGACGAAACGGUUACGAUUAAUACUCGUGACAACUGACGGUACCCGAAGAAUAAGCACCGGCUAACUACGUGCCAGCAGCCGCGGUAAUACGUAGGGUGCGAGCGUUAAUCGGAAUUACUGGGCGUAAAGCGUGCGCAGGCGGUUUUGUAAGCCAGAUGUGAAAUCCCCGGGCUUAACCUGGGAAUGGCAUUUGGGACUGCAAGGCUAGAGUAUGGCAGAGGAGACUAGAAUUUCUGGUGUAGCAGUGAAAUGCGUAGAUAUCAGAAGGAAUACCGAUGGCGAAGGCAGGUCUCUGGGUCAAUACUGACGCUCAUGCACGAAAGCGUGGGGAGCAAACAGGAUUAGAUACCCUGGUAGUCCACGCCCUAAACGAUGUCAACUGGUUGUUGGGAGAUUUAUUCUCUUAGUAACGAAGCUAACGCGUGAAGUUGACCGCCUGGGGAGUACGGUGCAAGNUUAAAACUCAAAGGAAUUGACGGNGUGNGAGNGCGAGACGACGACGAGGAGAGG